rnacentral:rRNA from 1 species
AUUGAACGCUGGCGGCAUGCCUUACACAUGCAAGUCGAACGGCAGCACGGGUGCUUGCACCUGGUGGCGAGUGGCGAACGGGUGAGUAAUACAUCGGAACAUGUCCUGUAGUGGGGGAUAGCCCGGCGAAAGCCGGAUUAAUACCGCAUACGAUCUACGCAUGAAAGCGGGGGACCUUCGGGCCUCGCGCUAUAGGGUUGGCCGAUAGCUGAUUAGCUAGUUGGUGGGGUAAAGGCCUACCAAGGCGACGAUCAGUAGCUGGUCUGAGAGGACGACCAGCCACACUGGGACUGAGACACGGCCCAGACUCCUACGGGAGGCAGCAGUGGGGAAUUUUGGACAAUGGGCGAAAGCCUGAUCCAGCAAUGCCGCGUGUGUGAAGAAGGCCUUCGGGUUGUAAAGCACUUUUGUCCGGAAAGAAAUCCUUGGCUCUAAUACAGUCGGGGGAUGACGGUACCGGAAGAAUAAGCACCGGCUAACUACGUG